rnacentral:rRNA from 1 species
AACGAACGCUGGCGGCAGGCCUAACACAUGCAAGUCGAACGAGUAAGAGCCGUAGCAAUACGGAGUUCUGCUAGUGGCGCACGGGUGAGUAACGCGUGGGAACGUGCCUUGGAGUUCGGGAUAACAGUUGGAAACGACUGCUAAUACCGAAUAUUCCCUCAGGGGAAAGAUUUAUCGCUCCAAGAUCGGCCCGCGUAAGAUUAGGUAGUUGGUGGGGUAAUGGCCUACCAAGCCUACGAUCUUUAGCUGGUCUGAGAGGACGACCAGCCACACUGGAACUGAGACACGGUCCAGACUCCUACGGGAGGCAGCAGUGGGGAAUAUUGGACAAUGGGCGAAAAGCCUGAUCCAGCCAUGCCGCGUGAAUGAUGAAGGACCUUAGGGUUGGUAAAAUUACUUUUGUCAGGGGAAGG